GGAGAACUGUUGCUGUGAAUCUCUCUCAGCAUAUGGGGAGUGAUGGGGGAUGGAAGGAGAUUCGAUCCCCCUGCUGCAAUGAUCUGUUUAAAAGGAGUCCGGCCUCCUCCUUCCUGAGCCAUGUUUCUGGUCUUGCUGAGACGCGUGUUAAUCUGGAGUCACUGCAAGGCAGAACAGGGAGUGACUCCAAAUUCCCAUGGGGGCAGAUAAGAUCAGGAUGUGUCCCUGUGGGGAGGGGGUUUCAGUUGUUGCUAAAGCGGGGAAAGUUACUCAGUUUCUCUGCAUCUCUUUCUUUGCCUCAGGAUAUUGGGGUUGAGCUUCCUGGUUCAGAUGCUGCUGCCUCGAUUGUGAUCUGGGAGCCCAGGCUGAGCAGCUGCUGCUCCCACAGCGGGAUCGGGGCUGGGGAGUGACCGUGAGUAAAGCUUCCUCUGUGCCCAGCCAAGGUGAGGAUUUUCUCCAGCUGUAAUUAGCCCCAUAGGUCAACCCAAGGCUCUGCCCACACCAACAUCUGAGUCAGAGACUCCAGCAAUUGCAGGAGCGGAUCCAGCCACAGGAGAGUGAACACCCAGGAUUGGCUGUCAGCCAGAGCAGGAGAGACAGGGGAAGGGAGACACAAGGAGAAAAAUGAGAAAGAGACUGAAAAGGGCAGUGGGAGAAAUAAUUGGGGAGAGAGAUUCCCAGAUUUCUGACCGGCCCUACACAUUUAUUGCCGCAUCCCUGGGCAGAUUCACUUUCCUGUGAACAAGGCCGCAGCGUUACAUCCCAUCCUUCCAGGGACCAGGGAAGGGAAAUGGCUGCUGUGGAGCCAGCUCAGGGGCUGGUGACUUUCGAGGAUGUGGCUGUGUAUUUCACUGAGGAAAAGUGGGCUCUGCUGGACCCUGCUCAGAGAGCCCUCUGUGGAGACAUCAUGCAGGAGAGCUAUGAGAAUGUGACCUCGCUGGGUAAGGCUUCCUGUCUCCUCAGUUCUUAGAAGGGGAAAUGAAGAGUUAAGGUUCACAAUGCGCCCUCAACUUUGCCCGAAAGGCGAAUGACACAUAGACUAGCACUCUACCCUUCUUUCUACAGAAUACUUUGGGAACAGAGCACAGGCGCAGGAGCACAAACUGGCAUGUAUGCACCAGCCUGCUGACAAUCCUUGUGGCAAGAACACACACUUGUGCACCUUGAUUGACACGGACUACACCACUCAGCACUGAAAUGAGGAAUACCUGAUCCUUCCAGUUUCACGUGCACCACUCCUCGUGUCACAGCUCUGCCAGGCUGCUCCAACUAAUCCCUCCGCAAUUCAUUUAAAGCUACAGCUGGCACAGGGCACACUGCUGGAGUGCCUGUGAAGAAAUGCUGGUGUUCAAAUCUGAGGAACAUAAAACACACAGUGGCAUGUUCUUAGUCCUUCCUUCUGUCGAUCAAUAAAUUUUAAGGCUGGGGGAGAUUAUUAGGUCAUCUAGUCUGACCUCCUGUGUAAUACAGGCCAUGGAGUUUCAUCCAGUUACCAUUGUAGUGCACUGAAUACUUUGUGUUUGAUGAAAACCUCUUCCAGAAAGGCAUCCUGUCCUGACUUGAAGUCUUCAAGAGAUGGAAAAUUGGCCCCUUCCUUGGGUAGUUUGUUAACCUUUGCACCACCCUUACUGACCUAUUCCCAGUGACAUUUGCCAGCUCCAGGGCUAGGGGAAGGCUUUUGUUUGUUCUUUGUUUAUGUGGUUGGUCUCUCCUGAGACUGAGAGAGGUCAGACAGAAAUCCAUCUUCUCCAACCCAUCCUAAUCAAAGUCUCCAAUAUUGCAACCAGUAUAGGUAAGCCAGGCAAGGCGGAUUAGUUUAUCUUUUGUUUUAUGUGAAU